AAUAGAUACCCAGGUAGUCCGCGCCGUAAACGAUGAGUGCUAAGUGUUAGAGGGUUUCCGCCCUUUAGUGCUGCAGCUAACGCAUUAAGCACUCCGCCUGGGGAGUACGGCCGCAAGGCUGAAACUCAAAGGAAUUGACGGGGGCCCGCACAAGCGGUGGAGCAUGUGGUUUAAUUCGAAGCAACGCGAAGAACCUUACCAGGUCUUGACAUCCUCUGCCAACCCUAGAGAUAGGGCGUUCCCCUUCGGGGGACAGAGUGACAGGUGGUGCAUGGUUGUCGUCAGCUCGUGUCGUGAGAUGUUGGGUUAAGUCCCGCAACGAGCGCAACCCUUGAUCUUAGUUGCCAGCAUUCAGUUGGGCACUCUAAGGUGACUGCCGGUGACAAACCGGAGGAAGUGGGGAUGACGUCAAAUCAUCAUGCCCCUUAUGACCUGGGCUACACACGUGCUACAAUGGAUGGUACAAAGAGCUGCGAACCCGUGAGGGUAAGCGAAUCUCAUAAAGCCAUUCUCAGUUCGGAUUGU
rnacentral:rRNA from 1 species